rnacentral:tRNA from 1 species
GCCUGGGUGGCUCAGUCAGUUGAGCAUCUCACUUCGGCUCAGGUCAUGAUCUCAUAGUUUGUGGGUUCGAGCCCCGCGUCAGGCU